GGUUUCUAUUGAUAUCAUCUGUCAGUUAUCAAAAUGUCGAACUGACCUGCCACUAAAAUGGAAGAAGGCCUCUUUACAAUAAAAAACUGGAUAGUAUUCCUGUUAGCAUACUUAUUAACAUUAUCAACGCUUUUUUUCCUGUCAUGCGUGUACGAUGUCGUGAAAUUCGUUUCCCCACACUUCAGAUCGGUGGUUGGAAUGUUAAGCAAACGUCACUCAAAUACGCGUCAGAAGCCUAAAAAAGAAGAAGAAGUUCUAACUACCAGAAGUCAAUGCUCAAGUAUUAAACCUCCUCAAGUUCCUCAAUCUGUAAAGAAGACUAUUAAUAAAAACCAAAUUCAUCUUGUACACAAAAACUCAAGAGUGUCGUUAAUGUAACAUAAACUGGGCAUAUUUAAAUAAAAAUAUAAAUUCUC